rnacentral:rRNA from 1 species
AGAGUUUGAUCCUGGCUCAGAAUCAACGCUGGCGGCGUGCCUAACACAUGCAAGUCGCACGAGAAAGUGGAGCAAUCCAUGAGUACAGUGGCGCACGGGUGAGUAACACGUGACUAACCUACCCUCGAGUGGGGAAUAACCUAGGGAAACCUGGGCUAAUACCGCGAUAACACUUACGAGUCAAAGCAGCAAUGCGCUUGGGGAGGGGGUCGCGGCAGAUUAGCUAGUUGGUGGGGUAAUGGCCUACCAAGGCGAUGAUCUGUAUCCGGCCUGAGAGGGCGCACGGACACACUGGAACUGAAACACGGUCCAGACUCCUACGGGAGGCAGCAGUGGGGAAUUUUGCGCAAUGGGGGAAACCCUGACGCAGCAACGCCGCGUGGAGGAUGAAAUCCCUUGGGAUGUAAACUCCUUUCGAUCGGGACGAUUAUGACGGUACCGGAAGAAGAAGCCCCGGCUAACUUCGUGCCAGCAGCCGCGGUAAUACGAGGGGGGCAAGCGUUGUUCGGAAUUAUUGGGCGUAAAGGGUGCGUAGGCGGUUUGAUAAGUCUUGUGUGAAAUCUCUGGGCUCAACCCAGAGUCUGCAUAGGAAACUGUCGGGCUUGAGUAUGGGAGAGGUGAGUGGAAUUUCCGGUGUAGCGGUGAAAUGCGUAGAUAUCGGAAGGAACACCUGUGGCGAAAGCGGCUCACUGGACCAUUACUGACGCUGAUGCACGAAAGCUAGGGG